rnacentral:rRNA from 1 species
AGAAUCAACGCUGGCGGCGUGCCUAACACAUGCAAGUCGAACGAGAAAGUGGAGCAAUCCAUUAGUAAAGUGGCGCACGGGUGAGUAACACGUGACUAACCUACCCUUGAGUGGGGGAUAACCGUAGAAGGAAUCUGGGCUAAUACCGCAUAAUACCUUCGGGUCAAAGGAGCAAUUCGCUUAAGGAGGGGGUCGCGGCCGAUUAGUUAGUUGGCGGGGUAAUGGCCCACCAAGACUAUGAUCGGUA